UGCAGUCGACGAUGAUCUCCAGCUUGCUGGGGGGAUUAGUGGCGAACGGGUGAGUAACACGUGAGUAACCUGCCCUUGACUCUGGGAUAAGCCUGGGAAACUGGGUCUAAUACUGGAUACGACCUUCCCACGCAUGUGGUGUUGGUGGAAAGCUUUUGUGGUUUUGGAUGGACUCGCGGCCUAUCAGCUUGUUGGUGGGGUAAUGGCCUACCAAGGCGACGACGGGUAGCCGGCCUGAGAGGGUGGACGGCCACACUGGGACUGAGACACGGCCCAGACUCCUACGGGAGGCAGCAGUGGGGAAUAUUGCACAAUGGGCGCAAGCCUGAUGCAGCGACGCCGCGUGAGGGAUGAAGGCCUUCGGGUUGUAAACCUCUUUCAGUAGGGAAGAAGCGAAAGUGACGGUACCUGCAGAAGAAGCGCCGGCUAACUACGUGCCAGCAGCCGCGGUAAUACGUAGGGCGCAAGCGUUAUCCGGAAUUAUUGGGCGUAAAGAGCUCGUAGGCGGUUUGUCGCGUCUGCCGUGAAAGUCCGGGGCUUAACUCCGGAUCUGCGGUGGGUACGGGCAGACUUGAGUGAUGUAGGGGAGACUGGAAUUCCUGGUGUAGCGGUGAAAUGCGCAGAUAUCAGGAGGAACACCGAUGGCGAAGGCAGGUCUCUGGGCAUUAACUGACGCUGAGGAGCGAAAGCAUGGGGAGCGAACAGGAUUAGAUACCCUGGUAGUCCAUGCCGUAAACGUUGGGCACUAGGUGUG
rnacentral:rRNA from 1 species